UACGUAGGGUGCAAGCGUUAAUCGGAAUUACUGGGCGUAAAGCGUGCGCAGGCGGUUUUGUAAGUCUGUCGUGAAAUCCCCGGGCUCAACCUGGGAAUUGCGAUGGAGACUGCAAGGCUAGAAUCUGGCAGAGGGGGGUAGAAUUCCACGUGUAGCAGUGAAAUGCGUAGAGGUGUGGAGGAACACCGAUGGCGAAGGCAGCCCCCUGGGUCAAGAUUGACGCUCAUGCACGAAAGCGUGGGGAGCAAACAGG
rnacentral:rRNA from 1 species